rnacentral:rRNA from 1 species
UACGGAGGGGGCUAGCGUUGUUCGGAAUUACUGGGCGUAAAGCGCACGUAGGCGGCUUUGUAAGUUAGAGGUGAAAGCCCGGGGCUCAACUCCGGAAUUGCCUUUAAGACUGCAUCGCUAGAAUUGUGGAGAGGUAAGUGGAAUUCCGAGUGUAGAGGUGAAAUUCGUAGAUAUUCGGAAGAACACCAGUGGCGAAGGCGGCGACCUGGUCCGGGACUGACGCUGAGGCG